rnacentral:rRNA from 1 species
UAGGGAAUCUUCCGCAAUGGACGCAAGUCUGACGGAGCAACGCCGCGUGAGUGAAGAAGGACUUCGGUUCGUAAAACUCUGUUGUUAGAGAAGAACAGCGCAUAGAGUAACUGUUAUGCGUGUGACGGUAUCUAACCAGAAAGCCACGGCUAACUACGUGCCAGCAGCCGCGGUAAUACGUAGGUGGCAAGCGUUGUUCGGAUUUAUUGGGCGUAAAGCGAGCGCAGGCGGUCAAUUAAGUCAGAUGUGAAAGCCCCCGGCUCAACCGGGGAGGGUCAUUGGAAACUGGUUGACUUGAGUGCAGAAGAGGGGAGUGGAAUUCCAUGUGUAGCGGUGAAAUGCGUAGAUAUAUGGAGGAACACCAGUGGCGAAGGCGACUCUCUGGUCUGUAACUGACGCUGAGGCUCGAAAGCGUGGGUAGCAAACAGG